CUCAUAACCGAGCAACAGAUAUACAGCGCAUCAGUGCAAAUCACAAUCGUUAAUAUUUAAAUGAUUUCAAUUCACGGCAUUCAAGUGGCUUCAUAAACGAGUGAUGUAGAGAUGGAGCACGCCGCGAGAAAUCAAUUUUAAGGGAAAUUAACUUCCAUCAACUCUGGAAUGACCGUAUGAAAACUGCUACAAUGUGGCACAGAAUUGCACUUCUGGAGAAAAGCCACAAAAUGGAUUCCUUGACUCGCAGCUCACAGAAUAAAAUUGAAUUCGUUGCCGAAGACGAUGAGAAAAUGAAAAUCAUGUUUACCCCGGUAUUCAAUUGAAACAAAUAGUGAUUGCUUGCUGCGAAAAAUGUGCGAUGUGGUAUCCAUCAUCACAAUAAGGAAUGAAAUAACAGCAAGUAUGCCUGUUCGGGUAUGUGAUUUGCAGAUGAGAGUGAUGCAAAUCGAUUCAAAACACAAAGAUAGAUAAAACUCAUUGAUUCUUAUGUUCGUGUGUAAUAACAGAACUGUUAUAUUGUAAGCAUCCAGAAAUAAAUAGAUUGUAGCGUGGACUUCUGAUGGGACUUCAUCUCAAUCUUGAAAAAAAAAAAUGUAUGGAGAAGCCUGAAAAUUGGUUUACCUAAUUGAACAAAGGGUGAACAGAUUGGUCCCGAAAAAUUAACUGUCAGCUUCCAUCCCUAUCCAAUCUGACAAAAUUUGGGCUUCUUUUUCACUUCAAUAAACAUUAUUUUGAAAACUUCAACAAGA